UGCAGGGGAACAUACUAAAAAAUUCGAUGGCUCUUCAAUGCCUUGUGUAGUCAGGGUGCAACUUUUGUGACUGAAUGUGGAAUCGCCUCAUGUUUCUGAAGGAUGCUAGAAUGUACAGUAGAAGUGACGGCCAGUACUAUGAGGAUGUUAGUGGAUUUCAUGAAGGCAUCACUGGGAACUUUGGCAAGUGAGUCUAUGCUAUUAUGCCUAUAAUCUCGAGCAAGAGGCUGGACCGGUCAAAGUGUAGCAUGGGGAAUUUAGCCCCCAUCACACAAUAAUGUCGGCAUUCUCUGAGCAUAUAUUUGUGACCGUGAUCUUUCAUACAAAUGCUACAAUAUUAUUGUGCCUUUUAACUGUCGCUUUAGUCGGGCAAAGGAAGACUCACUGAAGAAAAAUCCGUCAAAGGUGAUAUUUUUCGGAACUGAAUCAUAUCGUCCGGGUGUUUGGAAAAACAAGAUUUUGUGCAAAUAUUGCAGAACCUGUUGGCGCAGGAAUAAAUUCCGCUAAACGUUUCUCAGCAAA